CUCCAAUCUCUAUUCUUAGAGAUUCACCUUGUUUUUGUGCUAAUUUAUAAAGCAGGUCCAUACAAAGCUGCUGGUCGCCUGAAUGUAAAGGUAGCAGCUGGGACAUUUAGAAAGGAACCUGGGUCGGGUACAGGAACAAAAAUUAGUGUCAGUUGGAACACUGGAAUGGAUUCAAACUGAAAGGAAAUUUUGCGGAAGAGCCUUUGAAACAAUACAAUGGCAUGUGAGUAGACGAGUGCAUCAGUCUCAGAAGUGAUACAAAGAACCUAGUUUAGCCGAUAAAGCUGCUAAAUAUAGCAGAAGAAUGAUUAUAACAUGUCUCUGAGAAGCUGGGACAAGUAAUAAUAUCUCAUUUUCUUAGGGAAAAAAAAAUCUGAAGAAUCGGAUCACACAACUGCAGUAUUAAAGAUAGACAAUGAUUUCACUUGCACAACUGCAGUAUUAAAGAUGGACAAUGAUUUCACUUAUACGUCUCCGCCUCCUAGACACCAUGAUUAGUGACCCCUUAAAGAUAGGCUCCUAGACGCCAUGAUUAGUGACCCCUUGAAGAUAGGGGUAUCACACUAAUACUCUUUUUACAGCUAAAAGUUUGAAUUCAAAUAAACACCCUCUUUGAUUUUCUGCAAGGAGCUGAUAAUCUACCUGCA